rnacentral:sRNA from 1 species
AAGUCAUGGCAAGAAUAACUACAAAUUUGAUUUGCACACUGAAGUACAUAUAAAUAAAAUGAUUUUUACUUUUAUAUGAAUUUAAAACUAACAUUAACCUUGCAUUGUAUUGUGUUCAGUAUUUUUCAAAAGUUCAUCUAUUUGUACAAACUUAGUUUAAAAAACAAACAUACCUGGCAACUUUAAAAUCUUAAUGGAAAUGAUUUCCUAUCUCUUUUUUAGGCAACAAGUAACAGAAAUUAUAUUUGUUUUAAAAGCCGUCAGUACUCUUAUUGAUUCACUUAAGAAAACUCAGCCUGAGAAUGUUGAUGGAAAUACCUGGGCACAAGUAAUUGCCUUAUACCCAACUUUAGUAGAAUGCAUCACCUGCUCUUCUUCAGAAGUCUGUUCUGCACUUAAAGAGGCACUAGUUCCUUUUAAGGAUUUCAUGCAACCACCAGCAUCCAGAGUUCAAAAUGGAGAAUCUUGACCGGCUACAGUAUAUUUGAAAGAAGGAAGAUAUUCUAAAAAAUGUUUGCUCCUAACUGAGUCUUCUGUGAGAAGGACAUUUCUUACUGCAAAUAAUUCUUGGCAGCUGU